rfam:Sordaria macrospora k-hell, WGS project CABT02000000 data, contig: 2.7
GCCCGGCUAGCUCAAUCGGUAGAGCGUGAGACUCUUAAUCUAAGGUUGUGGGUUUCCGACCCCCACGUCGGGCU